rnacentral:rRNA from 1 species
GAUCAUGGCUCAGGAUGAACGCUAGCUACAGGCUUAACACAUGCAAGUCGAGGGCAGCAGUUGGGAUAGCUUACUAUUCAGAUGGCGACCGGCGCACGGGUGAGUAACGCGUAUCCAACCUUCCUGCCAGUAGGGAACAGCCCGGCGAAAGUCGGAUUAAUGCCCUAUGUUCUUCAAUGCGGACAUCUAAGUUGAAGGAAAGAUUCAUCGCUGGCAGAUGGGGAUGCGUCCGAUUAGCUUGCCGGCGGGGUAACGGCCCACCGGGGCGACGAUCGGUAGGGGUUCUGAGAGGAAGGUCCCCCACACUGGUAUUGAGACACGGACCAGACUCCUACGGGAGGCAGCAGUGAGGAAUAUUGGUCAAUGGGCGUAAGCCUGAACCAGCCAAGUAGCGUGCAAGGAUGACGGCCCUACGGGUUGUAAACUGCUUUUAUGCGGGGAUAAAGUGCGGCACGUGUGCCGCUUUGCAGGUACCGCAUGAAUAAGGACCGGCUAAUUCCGUGCCAGCAGCCGC